UAAACGGAUUUGACCCCGCUUUUAGGGUGA
rnacentral:sRNA from 1 species